rnacentral:rRNA from 1 species
AAGCAACAUCGCGAGGUGAAGCAAAUCCCCAAAAAGUGUCUCAGUUCAGAUUGUAGGCUGCAACUCGCCUACAUGAAGUCGGAAUUGCUAGUAAUCGCGGAUCAGCAUGCCGCGGUGAAUACGUUCCCGGGCCUUGUACACACCGCCCGUCACACCAUGAGAGCCGGUAACACCCGAAGUCAGUAGCCUAACCGCAAGGGGGGCGCUGCCGAAGGUGGGAUUGGUAAUUGGGGUGAAGUCGUAACAAGGUAGC